UUUUAAUCAUGCUGUAUUUCUAUAUAGGCUGUUGUUGUACCGCAGACAGGUCUGUUGUUGUACCGCAGACAGGUCUGUUGGUGUACCGCAGACAGGUCUGUUGGUGUACCGCAGACAGGUCUGUUGUUGUACCGUAGACAGGUCUGUUGGUGUACCGUAGACAGGUCUGUUGUCGUACCGUAGACAGGUCUGUUGUUGUACCAUAGACAGGUCUGUUGUUGUACCGUAGACAGGUCUGUUGUUGUACUGCAGACAGGUCUGUUGGUGUACCGCAGACAGGUCUGUUGUUGUACCGUAGACAGGUCUGUUGUUGUACCGUAGACAGGUCUGUUGUUGUACCAUAGACAGGUCUGUUGUUGUACCGCAGACAGGUCUGUUGUUGUACUGCAGACAGGUCUGUUGUUGUACCAUAGACAGGUCCAAUGUGUGUCACAUUGCGCUCCUUCUUAAUGGUUUUGACACGAGAAAGCGAGACCCCACCCCAAGCAAAACAGAUGCUCAGUUCUCCACGGCUCAUCUCCCUUGGCCUCCCGCCCACCGCCCAACAAACCAA